rnacentral:rRNA from 1 species
GACGAACGCUGGCGGCGUGCUUAACACAUGCAAGUCGAACGGAAAGGCCCUGCUUUUGUGGGGUGCUCGAGUGGCGAACGGGUGAGUAACACGUGAGUAACCUGCCCUUGACUUUGGGAUAACUUCAGGAAACUGGGGCUAAUACCGGAUAGGAGCUCCUGCUGCAUGGGGGGGGUUGGAAAGUUUCGGCGGUUGGGGAUGGACUCGCGGCUUAUCCGCUUGUUGGUGGGGUAGUGGCUUACCAAGGCUUUGACGGGUAGCCGGCCUGAGAGGGUGACCGGCCACAUUGGGACUGAGAUACGGCCCAGACUCCUACGGGAGGCAGCAGUGGGGAAUAUUGCACAAUGGGCGGAAGCCUGAUGCAGCAACGCCGCGUGCGGGAUGACGGCCUUCGGGUUGUAAACCGCUUUCGCCUGUGACGAAGCGUGAGUGACGGUAAUGGGUAAAGAAGCACCGGCUAACUACGUG